UUCUGCAUACAUACAUAAUUGCCUUGAUAAUAUUUUAGUUUGGAGAAAAAAUGAACUUAGAGUUUAGAAGUAAAAGAAAUAUGGCUGAAUGUAUAUGCUUCACCAGAUUCCUUUUUAAUAUUCCAUAGUAUCUGUGACACUAGGAAACCCCAGAUUUAUCUAACCAGACCAUCCCAGCAUGACAUAUUCUGACAUAAAAAAGCAGGUGUUUUUAGACAAGCUUCUGGCUUGAAUGUGCCAGCAGAGUGCCAGGAAUAUAAAAGAUUCUUAAACCUAGUAGUUGGCUUUUAAAACCAGCCUAUUGGCCUUAUGUGGGCAAAUGGUCACUGAAGUUUGGGAAAUAGCUGAGAGAAUACAUUUGUAAACAGGAAAUUUAUCUGCAUAGGGAAAGGCUUAUAUUCAACGGUACACAGGCAAUCCAAAGCACGCAUAUUCCCAGUGCUCAGAUCACUUUGUGCUUCUAGUAAGAUAUUAUUGUAAGACCCUGGAGCACAAACAAAAGAGACCCUAGCUCUCAACCAAAUUCUACCUAUGAAUAGUCGAGUGGCUUUUAUUCAUCCAUAAGAGGGGGGCAAUCACCUUGGUUCUGCCACAAGCUUAGGGGUCAUUAUCAGGCUCAGAAAUACAGUAUGAAUGAGAGGACUUAAAAGAAAAUGCUGUAUAAAAAGUCAAAUCAGAAUAUAGGCUAGAAGACAGCAAAGACUUUAUUCGGAAGAAAUCAGAGAAGCUUUCUCACAGCUGAGAAUACAACACAGGGUAAUCCUAAGGAGGAGGAAGUAAAAUAGAAUGAGUCAUUUUCUCUAAUGAGUCCAUUAGGGAAAAAACUUAUGAAGUAGUAAACAUGAAAGAAACCUAAGAAGACCAACACAGUGAUUUGUGCUUUAGGUUACUCAAGAGAAGUGGUGAUCAUUUUUGCAAGGCUGACACAAUGACUGCAAGGCAGGAGACCUAAAACUUGCAGAUAUCACAGAGUUUAAUAGAAAAGGAAGAUGGAGAAAGGCAGACUGAAGUCAACUGCAUGCUACCAUACCACCUCACAGAGCCUCUUAAUCGGGAAUAUGACUCAUAGAAAGACGGUAGCUGCACGCUGGAUGCUGAUAAAGCCUGGCAGUGGAGCUUGCGGCAGUAACUGGAGAACUCAUAUGUUAGCUGCCAGAAGACUGAUGUGUCCCACAUGGUUCUAUGACAGGAGGAUCAGCAGGAGGAAGGGCAGCAGGUGGACACACAGCUGGGGCGGCAGCAGGUGGUCCUGCAGCAGGUAGGUUGACAGCAAGGGGAGCAGCAGGAAUGGGUCAUGGUGUCAGGUGUGGAGGGUUGGCUUCUGAGCAGAGACAAAUUUCUCAGAAUCUGAAUACCUCUUCUCUACUAGACCUUUUAUACUCUGGUUCCCAAAUUUAGGACCAAUGAACAGAAUUUUCCUUGUUAUUAUUUAUAACUUUUUUCAUGAUCCAUGGAAAAUUGCCUAAGGAGGAAGUGUUCCCUAACUGUUCUGAAAAUAGGAUUAUUCUCCUAGGUAAUAUUAAACCAUAGGAACUUAUUUCCAGAAACGGGAGAAACCAUCAACAUCCAUACCCUUAUUUAAGUGUGAAUCAUCAUUUCUCAAGACAGAAUUCAUC
rnacentral:lncRNA from 1 species